UGCCGCGUGCAGGAUGAAGGCCCUCGGGUUGUAAACUGCUUUUGUACGGAACGAAAAGACUCUCUCUAAUAAAGAGGGUUGAUGACGGUACCGUAAGAAUAAGCACCGGCUAACUACGUGCCAGCAGCCGCGGUAAUACGUAGGGUGCGAGCGUUAAUCGGAAUUACUGGGCGUAAAGCGUGCGCAGGCGGUUAUGUAAGACAGAGGUGAGAUCCCCGGGCUCAACCUGGGAACGGCCUUUGUGACUGCAUGGCUAGAGUGCGGCAGAGGGGGAUGGAAUUCCGCGUGUAGCAGUGAAAUGCGUAGAUAUGCGGAGGAACACCGAUGGCGAAGGCAAUCCCCUGGGCCUGCACUGACGCUCAUGCACGAAAGCGUGGGGAGCAAACAGGAUUAGAUACCCUGGUAGUCCACGCCCUAAACGAUGUCAACUGGUUGUUGGGAAUUAACUUUCUCAGUAACGAAGCUAACGCGUGAAGUUGACCGCCUGGGGAGUACAGCCGCAAGGUUGAAACUCAAAGGAAUUUGACGGA
rnacentral:rRNA from 1 species